CCUACGGGGGACAGCAGUGAGGAAUAUUGGUCAAUGGACGAGAGUCUGAACCAGCCAAGUAGCGUGAAGGAUGACUGCCCUAUGGGUUGUAAACUUCUUUUAUAUGGGAAUAAAACGUUCCACGUGUGGGAUUUUGUAUGUACCAUAUGAAUAAGGAUCGGCUAACUCCGUGCCAGCAGCCGCGGUAAUACGGAGGAACCGAGCGUUAACCGGAUUUAUUGGGGUUAAAGGGAGCGUAGGUGGUGUGUUAAGUCAGUUGUGAAAGUUUGCGGCUCAACCGGAAAAUUGCAGUUGAAACUGGCAGUCUUGAGUACAGUAGAGGUGGGCAGAAUUCGUGGUGUAGCGGUGAAAUGCUUAGAUAUCACGAGGAACUCCGAUUGCGAAGGCAGUUCACUGGACUUCAACUGACACUGAGGCUCGAAAGUGUGGGUAUCAAACAGGAUUAGAUACCCUUGUAGUC
rnacentral:rRNA from 1 species